UGCAGAGAAGGCAGCACGAAGGGCGGUGUGCGGCGGCUGCCGUUUGGCUACCAUUGGGGGCGGCGGCUGCUACGUUUUCUGCUUAUGGUUUCUUGUUUUUUCUUUUUUUUUGGGCUAGGGUUUAGUUGGGUUAGUUGGGCUGUUUUGUGUAUUAAGCUAAUAGGUUAAUAAUUUGGGCAUGGUAUUGGGUUUUUGUAAUUUGGGCAUUAAUUGGACUUUAUUUAUUUUGGUUUGGUUAUAUUUUUUUUGUUUAUGCGGGCUAGGGCCAAAAUUUGGGUUCUACAAUUUGAAUAUAACCUAAUUGUGAAACUAAAAUUAGAUCGAACUAAUCAAUAUAAA
rnacentral:lncRNA from 1 species